CCAAAUCCUACGGGAGCUGCAGUAGGGAUCUUCCACAAUGGCGAAAGCCUGAUGAGCAACGCCGCGUGUGUGAUGAAGGCUUUCGGGUCGUAAAGCACUGUUGUAUGGAAGAAAAGUUAAGGUAGGGAAUGACCUUAGCCUGACGGUACCAUACCAGAAAGGGACGGCUAAAUACGUGCCAGCAGCCGCGGUAAUACGUAUGUCCCGAGCGUUAUCCGGAUUUAUUGGGCGUAAAGCGAGCGCAGACGGUUGGUUAAGUCUGAUGUGAAAGCCCGGAGCUCAACUCCGGAAAGGCAUUGGAAACUGGUUAACUUGAGUGCAGUAGAGGUAAGUGGAACUCCAUGUGUAGCGGUGGAAUGCGUAGAUAUAUGGAAGAACACCAGCGGCGAAGGCGGCUUACUGGACUGUAACUGACGUUGAGGCUCGAAAGUGUGGGUAGCAAACAGGAUUAGAUACCCUGGUAGUCCACACCGUAAACGAUGAACACUAGGUGUUAGGAGGUUUCCGCCUCUUAGUGCCGAAGCUAACGCAUUAAGUGUUCCGCCUGGGGAGUACGACCGCAAGGUUGAAACUCAAAGGAAUUGACGGGGACCCGCACAAGCGGUGGAGCAUGUGGUUUAAUUCGAAGCAACGCGAAGAACCUUACCAGGUCUUGACAUCCUUUGAAGCUUUUAGAAAUAGAAGUGUUCUCUUCGGAGACAAAGUGACAGGUGGUGCAUGGUCGUCGUCAGCUCGUGUCGUGAGAUGUUGGGUUAAGUCCCGCAACGAGCGCAACCCUUAUUGUUAGUUGCCAGCAUUCAGAUGGGCACUCUAGCGAGACUGCCGGUGACAAACCGGAGGAAGGCGGGGACGACGUCAGAUCAUCAUGCCCCUUAUGACCUGGGCUACACACGUGCUACAAUGGCGUAUACAACGAGUUGCCAACCUGCGAAGGUGAGCUAAUCUCUUAAAGUACGUCUCAGUUCGGACUGCAGUCUGCAACUCGACUGCACGAAGUCGGAAUCGCUAGUAAUCGCGGAUCAGCACGCCGCGGUGAAUACGUUCCCGGGUCUUGUACACACCGCCCGUCACACCAUGGAAGUUUGUAAUGCCCAAAGCCGGUGGCCUAACCGUAAGGAGGGAACCGUCUAAGGC
rnacentral:rRNA from 1 species